rnacentral:hammerhead_ribozyme from 1 species
ACCAGUUGACGAGUCUUAAAUAGGACGAAAUGUGCGUCCUGGAU